rnacentral:rRNA from 1 species
GGAGUCUAGCAUGUGCGCGAGUCAUUGGGACUCUAACGAAACCUAAAGGCGUAAUGAAAGUGAAGGCUCGCCUAGCGCGGGCCGAGGGAGGAUGGGUGUCCCCGAGGGGACGCCUCGCACUCCCAGGGCGUCUCGUUCUCAUUGCGAGAAGAGGCGCACCAUGAGCGUACACGCUGGGACCCGAAAGAUGGUGAACUAUGCCUGGUCAGGACGAAGUCAGGGGAAACCCUGAUGGAGGUCCGUAGCGAUUCUGACGUGCAAAUCGAUCGUCGGAACUGGGUAUAGGGGCGAAAGACUAAUCGAACCAUCUAGUAGCUGGUUCCCUCCGAAGUUUCCCUCAGGAUAGCUGGCGCUCGCUUCUCGCGAGUCUCAUUCGGUAAAGCGAAUGAUUAGAGGCAUUGGGGUCGAAACGGCCUCAACCUAUUCUCAAACUUUAAAUGGGUGAGAUCUCCGGCUUGCUUGAACUGUGAAGCCGCGAGAUAUCGGAUCAGAGUGCCAAGUGGGCCACUUUUGGUAAGCAGAACUGGCGCUGUGGGAUGAACCAAACGCUGAGUUAAAGCGCCUAAAUCGACGCUUAUGGGAUACCAUGAAAGGCGUUGGUAACUUAAGACAGCAGGACGGUGGCCAU